CCUACGGGAGGCAGCAGUAGGGAAUCUUCCGCAAUGGACGAAAGUCUGACGGAGCAACGCCGCGUGAACGAUGAAGGCCUUCGGGUCGUAAAGUUCUGUUGUUAGGGAAGAACAAGUGCUAGUUGAAUAAGCUGGCACCUUGACGGUACCUAACCAGAAAGCCACAGCUAACUACGUGCCAGCAGCCGCGGUAAUACGUAGGUGGCAAGCGUUGUCCGGAAUUAUUGGGCGUAAAGCGCGCGCAGGCGGUUUCUUAAGUCUGAUGUGAAAGCCCCCGGCUCAACCGGGGAGGGUCAUUGGAAACUGGGAAACUUGAGUGCAGAAGAGGAAAGUGGAAUUCCAAGUGUAGCGGUGAAAUGCGUAGAGAUUUGGAGGAACACCAGUGGCGAAGGCGACUUUCUGGUCUGUAACUGACGCUGAGGCGCGAAAGCGUGGGGAGCAAACAGGAUUAGAUACCCUGGUAGUCCACGCUGUAAACGAUGAGUGCUAAGUGUUAGAGGGUUUCCGCCCUUUAGUGCUGAAGUUAACGCAUUAAGCACUCCGCCUGGGGGAGUACGGUCGACAAGACUAGAAACUANAAAGUGAAUUGACGG
rnacentral:rRNA from 1 species